rnacentral:rRNA from 1 species
UACGGAGGGUGCAAGCGUUAUCCAGAUUCACUGGGUUUAAAGGGUGCGUAGGUGGGCAGGUAAGUCAGUGGUGAAAUCUCCGGGCUUAACCCGGAAACUGCCGUUGAUACUAUUUGUCUUGAAUAUAGUGGAGGUGAGCGGAAUAUGUCAUGUAGCGGUGAAAUGCUUAGAUAUGACAUAGAACACCAAUUGCGAAGGCAGCUUACUACACAGUUAUUGACGCUGAGGCACGAAAGCGUGGGGAUCAAACAGG